rnacentral:rRNA from 1 species
GUCCACGCCGUAAACGAUGGAUACUAGCUGUUGGGGGCAACUUCAGUGGUUAAGCGAAAGUGAUAAGUAUCCCACCUGGGGAGUACGGGCGCAAGCCUGAAACUCAAAGGAAUUGACGGGGGCCCCGCACAAGCGGUGGAGCAUGUGGUUUAAUUCGAUGAUACGCGAGGAACCUUACCAAGGCUUAAAUGGGAAUUGACCGAUUUGGAAACAGAUCUUUCGCAAGACAAUUUUCAAGGUGCUGCAUGGUUGUCGU